CAAAUCUCCUACUCUUACUUUUCUAAUAUCAUCACGAUGGAAAAGAUUGUACCCGAGCCAUUUGUGGAACAUCCUAAGAGUGGGAUGUUCUAUGUCGCUGGUUCGGGCAUGACUAUAAAACUCAUCUCUAGAUAUCUCUCUCCAGAACUAGUGUCUCUCAAAAUUGGGCAAGUCGGAGUCAAUGUCCAAGAUGCAUCUUGAAGAGAAACCGAGAUGGUCGCUCAGUUCUCUCCAAGACAACAUAAUGUCCUAUUUGAACAUCCGAAAAGCGAUUCCCCCCUCAUAAUAUUGCAAAGUGCAAAGAAAUUCAAUGGUGAGGAGAUGGGAACCCAGCUCAGUUAUGUCCCAAAAAUUUGUCCAUCCCACCAUCUGGAAAAUCAAGUCAAAUUCAGUAUCCAUACCUAUUUCUUGUAGCAAGAUAGAAUCAAGAGUGGGGUUGUGAAUGAAAUCCUUGUUCUUUAGCUGCUGGAAAACUUCCUUUUCCCAGCGGGUCUUCAGUCCAAGGUGUCCUGUCUUGAGGAGGACCUUGACUCGCGGAUCAGAUGAAGAUGGCGGAGCUUGCGGGGGCGUCGGGUCGAUGCUCAUCUCUCACUGGUGUGAGGAGUGUCGGGACGAACUCCUCGUACUUAUGUUCUUGAGGGCCUUGCCUGCGUUCUUCACCUUCUUCAUCAUCCAGCCGACAAAAGUUGACACAAACACAACUAGUGGAAAAUGUGUGAGAGAGAAAUGUUAGUGGUCAGCUGUCCGAAAUGUCAGUAGUCCAGGGGUU
rnacentral:lncRNA from 1 species